CAGUCAGUACCGUUCAAGACGGCGAAGUCUCAUGUGUUGGCAGUGAUGGGGUUAUUACUCAAUGGAUUUUUGAUAUUAUAUCUUUUCAACUUCUUUCAAACUGGAGUUGUUACUGUAGACUUUCAUUUACAAAAGAAUUACCAUGAACCAAGGGCCUUUAAUAGUGAGGAGCUGACAGAAGUUGCUAAACUAUCGAGCCUCCCUCGCUUUGAUGAAAUCCUCUCUCACAUACUUGUGCCUCGAGUGGUCGGAUCAGAUGGACAUAGGAAAGUCAGAGAGUACAUCACUAGCCAGUUACGAGGCCUGGGCUGGUCAGUAGAGCACCAAGAGAGUGUGCAGACGACUCCGCUGUUUGGUCAGCUGACUUUCACUAACUUAAUUGCUCGGCUGAAUCCAUCAGCUGACAGGUAUCUGACACUGGCAUGUCACUACGACAGUAAACACAUGCGGGAGGGAGAGUUUCUGGCAGCGACGGACUCCGCCGUCCCUUGUGCGAUGAUGUUAGAUUUGGCUCACGCUUUGUCACAUCGGUUGGAGCCUUUUAAAAAGUCGAACUUGAGCCUUAUGUUACUAUUCUUUGAUGGUGAAGAAGCAUUUGUAACAUGGAGUGCAACAGAUUCCCUUUACGGAUCUCGCAGCUUGGCUCAGACUUGGGAGAAGCGCAAGUAUCCACAUGCAAGAUCCGACACUACGGAACUUCACAGGAUAGAUCUGUUGGUACUUCUGGAUUUGCUGGGGACUCCUCAGCCUUCUUUCUACAGUUAUUUCCGCAAAACACAAAGUUGGUAUUUGCAAAUGGUUGCUGCAGAAAGGAGCCUUACUGACAUGAGGUUGUUGAAGAAGAUUAACAAUGAAGUUUACUUCAACAGAAUGCAUCUCGACGCUCAUAUUGAUGAUGACCAUAUGCCCUUCCUUGAGCGAGGCGUUCCAUGUCUACACAUCAUUCCUACUCCAUUUCCGACAGUUUGGCACGAGCUUUCCGACAACUACAAUGCACUAGACAUGCCAACUAUCGACAACUUAAACAAAAUACUCAGGGUCUUUACUUUAGGCUACUUAAGAGGGGGUGCCAGAACUAAAACAAAAAGGCCUAGAAAUUUAGAUGUUUCUACAUAUGACUUAUAACGUCCAAACUGUUUUAAAAUAGGAGACUCGGCCAAACCUACUGUACUGUACUAUCUAUAGCCAAUGAAAAUUAUGUAACAUAACUUAACUUGUCACAUUUUCAUUUAAAUAUCAACAUUUUACAUUAGAUUUUAUGUUGGGGUUUAUAAAACUCAAACUAAAGCAUUGACAGAUAUCCAAAACAGUACGGUUUUAUGAAUGACGCUGUUACACAGUUUAUCAAGUUUCUGGUCUCUAACAGUCAAAAGCUUGUUCAGGAACGGAAAUUGUCCAACAUUUCUAAAGUUGAACUGUUAAGUUGAUCUACCAUGACUGAUUAUUUGGAAUGUGUUAAGUUGAAAGUUAAGGGCUUUUGUUGCUGAAAGUUAGUUCCUCCGUAAUGACAUUCCAACAAAAAAUAUUGUAUAAACAAAAUUUUAAAACAACAUUAGCAUUUUUACAUUUUAAUUAUUGUUAAUCCAUCUUGAUAUUUUGGCAGCUUAAGUAUUAUUAGUAUAAGUAUAGGCUAGACAAUGGUUGUAAGGGUAUAGAAUAUUUUUAUAUUUAAUCAAAUGGAUUAGUUUUGUAAUUUAAUCAUACAUUAUGAGGGUGUUACAUUUCGGUAGGUAAAAAUAGAUUUGCUAUGUAUGCUGACGAUUACGAUACUUAAUUUAAUUUAUUUUUUUUAGCUUAUUAGCAUGUACAUGGUGCAGCAUAAAAACCGAUCUAUUUUCUGCAGCACACUGUUCAGCGACAGGUAGUCUGAGGGUGGUUGAAGUAGGUUCGUUUGAAAGCCUACACGAUGCCAUUAUCUGUGGUCAUAGACCAGGGUUGUUGUCACUUGAGCAGCGUGAAUUUGUUUUCGAGUCUUUUAAAAAAAGUAAUGAUUCAGUCAUUGCAACUCAACAGCAUUUCCAUGCAUUCUUUAAAUUAGGUCGACAUGGAGAGGUUCUGUUGCGAAUAUGUGUAUGGAUAAUCAACAAAAUUAAACAGAAUAAUACUAAUUAAUCCGUAUGGAUAAGAGUUAAGAUCGAACCUCAAAAUUAGCGUAAUCGAGCGGUCAGACAUGUUCAAAGCAGAUGCUUGUUUUCGGGAGGGCCUACAAGGAUUGUGUUCCACAGCAGCACCAACUCUAUUGCAUGUUAGUUGUCUGGCUUUCCGAUCUGCUUUGGAUGGCUUAUCAGCUUCGUUUUGAACACAGAAGCCGUUGUUAUAAAGUUGGUAACACACUACAUGAGUGUGCUACUUAACGGAAUCCACGUCGCCCUAAUUAAAAAUUAAAGGAAUGCAUGGAACCUCCGCUGAGUUGCAAUGACUGAAUCAUUACUUUUUAAAUUCAACUCAACAACAAACUCACAUUGCUCAGGUGCCCAAUGCUCUAUGACCACAAAUAAUGGCAUAGUGUAGGCUUUCCAACAAGCCUAGCCCACCACUCUCAGACGCUGAAUAGUGCGCUGCAUAAAAUACAUAGUUUUUUUGCCGUUUUUUUAUUUGUUUUCAAAGUGAUGUCUGUGUGUGUGUGUGUGUGUGUGUGUGUAUGUUCAUAAGCUAUUGCAACUUUUGUGAUUUUUCCCAACAUCAUUGUUACCACAACCACUUACCCAUGAUAAGGGGUCUUGACAAGCUUAUGGGAGAAAGUAUGUGUAAAAUUGCUGAUACCGCUUAUUUAAUAUGUACAUAUGUGUCUUACUAAAAAAUAAUAACUUUAUCAGUAUCUUUAAAUUUAAAUCUGGAAUCUAAACAUGUUAAAAAUCUCAACAAACUAGUCAAACAAAUGUCAAAUUAACAAGACUUGCUUGCAGUUGAAUUUAAGCUUUUAUUGGACCGCAAUAAAACAAAUUGUGCUGUGAUUUUGUUACCUCUUUUAAGACUUUUAUUAAUAUUUUUCACUUUUAGUUGAUUGUUAUGAGUUUUCAGUGAGCACACUAGAAGGUUUUACCAAGGUAAAAUAAAAGCAGCAUUCAACUAAUUCUAUUGCUUUAAAACUGGGAGUACUGAACCCAAUUCUCCAUGCCCCUAUGUUUUACAGUUUUUAGUGUCAUUAAUAUGCUGGAAACUUGACUAAAUAAUUGCUUCAGUAAAAAUCAAUUUUAAUGUCAGUAACUAGAACUACCAAAUCAAACUUUACUAAAAUUGUAAUUAGUUCUUAAUUUCAGUCCUGUUGGAUUUAGUUGUAACUUGUAACCUUCCUACUAUUUUUAUUUGCUAUGAAUUUUUGCUAUCGAAUUAAACUUUUUUUAAUUUUUUGAACUGAUCAUAACUAUUUUGGUUAGAGACCUUAAUGUAUGGGUUUCUUCAUAUAGAGUUAAGAAAUUUGAAGGUUUUUUUUUGGUGCCCCGUAAUACAUUCAGUGAUUCAGAAUAUAUUUUUCUUGCCACUUCACCAAAAUUUACUUAGGAAGAAUACUUGCUGAAUGCUUUUACUUUGUUCAUGAACUAUCACUGUGUAGGUUUUGUUUUGUUAUGAGUUAUGAGUUAACAUUUUGUUUCUUGUUAUUUCAGUUAUUGAAAACCUCGUUUAACCAAAUGAAACGACUUAAACAUAAACAAUGACUUGUCCCCUAGUUGUAUAACCAUAUAGCUGAACAGUAAAGCACAAAUCAUUAAAUUAACCCUAAAAUAAUAUAAACAAAGUAUCGUCGACACUAGCGAUCACUGAUCAGUGUCACCAGACAUGAAAUUGACACAAAAGCAAGCUUCAAAAUGUACAAUGGGAUAAGAAGUCUGCUUGUGUUGGUUAGUCUAUGACUAUAUCUAUUAGUUUUGUUCCAAAUUUAAUUCUGAAUGAGUAGUAGAUGGUUUCAGUUUCUACAGGGUGGGGCAGAGUGGACUCCCUGAUUUGAUCGGUUAACUGUAUAAAAACCAUACAAGAUUACUACAAAAGCUUUUUAUUUCUGAAAUCUAAAUACAAUGCCAUUUAUUUUUCAUUAAGUUUUAAAAAUGAUAUCGUCCAGGUGAAGACCUUGACGAGCGAUGCACAUAUUUAGCCGUUCAAUGAAGUUUUCAAAAACUUUACGCAGCAUAUCUGGCAUUAUUCCAGUGAUAACAUCAACAAUUGCUUCCUUAAGGGCUUCCAAGGUCCUUGGUCGAACUUUGUAAACCUCAGUUGCAGAUUCGGUCGCCCGUACACUUGUAAUCCAUUUCCUUAAGGUUUUAGCAUCGGGAACACUAUCAUGACAAUUCAAACCAAACCGUCUACGAAAUGCACGCUGGGUCGCCACCACACUAUCCUUAUUUUUAAAGAACGUUUUGACUACAAAACCACGAUGCUCGCCAGUUUAUGGCAUGGUGACUACUAACAAUGGCGUCUUUCCCCCCACCACAUGAAACCUCUCCCACUCCGCUAACUCGCGCGCACGCUCUUCAGCGACUGAUUGAAACUAGGGAGUCCACUCUGCCCCACCCUGUAUUUAGUUAUCAAUGAACGUUGGUUUAAACUACUUUUUAACCCAUUAAAAUUAAAUCAUCACUAUUUCACUAUUAGAUCACAAUAUGAAACUGACUAUUGAUAGAACUACACAUUCAAUCUUUAUGUCCAUUUAGAUCGAAUGAUUAUUAUAGUACCCAAAAGUCAAUUAAAUAUAGGAGUAUGUAUUUGGUUCUUGGUGUAGACCUACUAUUGAUGUAUGGAUACCCUUAGAUUUCUUGUUUAAGAAUUUACUUUUUAACACAUUAUAAGGCAUUUAUUUUUUUAGUUCUUGUGUAAUGGUUAUGUUUAACUACUUUUUGGAACACUUAACCAUCAUAAAAAUGUCACUAUUGAACUAUGUUACAAAACUUAAAUCCACUAUUUUACAAAAUAUUUCUGUAAUAUAACAUUUAACCUUCUCAGUCAUUCUAGAGACUUCUUUGGUUGAUUUGUUCCUCUGAUCCGUCCAUACCCUGUAUAUCGGGAUGUGCAGCUAGCAUCUCCCCCAAAAAGAUAGUGAUCAUUUCUUAGUCUUAUCAACAUCUAAAAUCAGGUACUGGUAAUGUUAGAUUGGCUCAACAUUUUAUACAAAAUAUGUUACGCACUAGGAUUGGAAUUUAUUUUGACAUAGUUCUUAGCAUUCAUGACAUGUAACCAAAAUAACAUAUUCAUGAACAAAAAUUGUAUUUGUAAUUUUCUUGUUAAGUUUUGGAUAAUGUUUUUGAAUUGUAUACAUUAUGUUUAAUUCUAAUAACUGACACCUUUUUGAUACCCAAUGAUGUUUUUUGGAAUUGUAAGAAACUUAAAUGUUUUGCUAAAUAUCUACAUGUAUUUAUAAAGACAAUCAAGAGCUUUAGAUAUAUGCUUUU